rnacentral:rRNA from 1 species
UACGUAGGGUGCAAGCGUUAAUCGGAAUUACUGGGCGUAAAGCGUGCGCAGGCGGUUUUGUAAGUCUGUCGUGAAAUCCCCCGGGCUCAACCUGGGAAUUGCGAUGGAGACUGCAAGGCUAGAAUCUGGCAGAGGGGGGUAGAAUUCCACGUGUAGCAGUGAAAUGCGUAGAGAUGUGGAGGAAUACCGAUGGCGAAGGCAGCCCCCCUGGGAUAACACUGACGCUCAUGCACGAAAGCGUGGGGAGCAAACAGG